UACGUAGGCAGCGAGCGUUGUCCGGAAUCAUUGGGCGUAAAGCGCGCGUAGGUGGCCUCAUAAGUCCGUUGUGAAAGUCAAAGGCUCAACCUUUGAAAGCCGAUGGAUACUGUGAGACUAGAGUACGGAAGAGGCGAGUGGAAUUCCUGGUGUAGCGGUGGAAUGCGCAGAUAUCAGGAGGAACACCAAUAGCGAAGGCAGCUCGCUGGGACGUUACUGACACUGAGGCGCGAAAGCGUGGGGAGCGAACAGG
rnacentral:rRNA from 1 species